CCCGAAGCCGGUGGCCCAACCCCUUGUGGGAGGGAGCUGUCGAAGGUGGGACUGGCGAUUGGGACGAAGUCGUAACAAGGUAGCCGUACCGGAAGGUGCGGCUGGAUCACCUCCUUU
rnacentral:rRNA from 5 species